CACCGCCGUUUGUUUCCUCGUCUUUUAUUUUAUUUUUAUUUUUUGAUCCAAAGGCAUUUGUUUCCUUUUGGAAAGACGCCAAAAUUUAUUGGUUUAGCGCUUUCCAAAGAGAAAUAGGUGCCUCGGGGUCGGACAACCACCACUUGGCAUUUUGGCAUUGUCUCGUUAUUCGAUUCGACGUCGGAUUUCCUGUAGUUUGGUAUUUCUCAAAUUUUGCAAUGCAGAUUUUUAUAUCCAAUGGAUGAGAAUAUGAGUCUCUUCCAGCUCAUAGGAUAUGCUCGAUGUGCUUUACUGGAAUGAAUGAAUAUUUAGCGUGUUACUUAUGUUUAAAGCAUGUACAUCUAUAAUAUUUGGUUAAUCUUCCAUUUUUCUUCACAUAUGUAGCUCAAACAACAUUAUGUGAAGUUUAUCUAGUUAAGGAAAAGAAACAUUUUGUUUUCCAGAAA